CAACUACUCCCUCUGUCCCAAAUUUCUUGUCUUAGAUUUGUCUAGAUACGGAUGUAUCUAAUACUAAAAUGUGACUUGAUACAUCCGUAUCUAGACAAAUCUAAGACAAGAAUUUUGGGACGGAGGGACUACUUU
rnacentral:pre_miRNA from 1 species